UUGACAUAUUUGAGAAGAAGGUUCUUGACGUUCCGUUGAACGUUUGCGAGUGGUUCAGAGAUUACCAACCAGUUUCAAGUGGGAAACAAGAGAUCGAGCAUGCAUACGAGUUUGUGAAGAAGAAGUUUGAGGAAUUAUAUUACCAGA